CUACGUGCCAGCAGCCGCGGUAAUACGGAAGGUCCGGGCGUUAUCCGGAAUUAUUGGGUUUAAAGGGAGCGCAGGCGGGAGUGUAAGUCAGCUGUUAAAUAUCAGGGCCCAACUCUGUUAUGCAGUUGAAACUAUAUUUCUUGAGUACGCACAGGGAUGGCGGAAUUCAGGGUGUAGCGGUGAAAUGCUUAGAUAUCCUGAAGAACUCCGAUCGCGAAGGCAGCCAUCCGGAGCGUAACUGACGCUGAGGCUCGAAGGUGCGGGUAUCAAACAGGAUUAGAUACCCUGGUAGUCCACGCAGUAAACGAUGAUAACUGGGCGUAUGCGAUAUACAGUAUGCUCCUAAGCGAAAGCGUUAAGUUAUCCACCUGGGGAGUACGCCGGCAACGGUGAAACUCAAAGGAAUUGACGGGGGCCCGCACAAGCGGAGGAACAUGUGGUUUAAUUCGAUGAUACGCGAGGAACCUUACCCGGGAUUGAA
rnacentral:rRNA from 1 species